rnacentral:rRNA from 1 species
AGCGGCGGACGGGUGAGUAAUGCCUAGGAAAUUGCCCUGAUGUGGGGGAUAACCAUUGGAAACGAUGGCUAAUACCGCAUGAUGCCUACGGGCCAAAGAGGGGGACCUUCGGGCCUCUCGCGUCAGGAUAUGCCUAGGUGGGAUUAGCUAGUUGGUGAGGUAAGGGCUCACCAAGGCGACGAUCCCUAGCUGGUCUGAGAGGAUGAUCAGCCACACUGGAACUGAGACACGGUCCAGACUCCUACGGGAGGCAGCAGUGGGGAAUAUUGCACAAUGGGCGCAAGCCUGAUGCAGCCAUGCCGCGUGUGUGAAGAAGGCCUUCGGGUUGUAAAGCACUUUCAGUCGUGAGGAAGGUAGUGUAGUUAAUAGCUGCAUUAUUUGACGUUAGCGACAGAAGAAGCACCGGCUAACUCCGUGCCAGCAGCCGCGGUAAUACGGAGGGUGCGAGCGUUAAUCGGAAUUACUGGGCGUAAAGCGCAUGCAGGUGGUUUGUUAAGUCAGAUGUGAAAGCCCGGGGCUCAACCUCGGAAUUGCAUUUGAAACUGGCAGA